CGAGCGAACAGAAAAGGAGCUUGCUCCUUUGACGUUAGCGGCGGACGGGUGAGUAACACGUGGGUAACCUACCUAUAAGACUGGGAUAACUUCGGGAAACCGGAGCUAAUACCGGAUAACAUUUGGAACCGCAUGGUUCUAAAGUGAAAGAUGGUUUUGCUAUCACUUAUAGAUGGACCCGCGCCGUAUUAGCUAGUUGGUAAAGUAACGGCUUACCAAGGCAACGAUACGUAGCCGACCUGAGAGGGUGAUCGGCCACACUGGAACUGAGACACGGUCCAGACUCCUACGGGAGGCAGCAGUAGGGAAUCUUCCGCAAUGGGCGAAAGCCUGACGGAGCAACGCCGCGUGAGUGAUGAAGGGUUUCGGCUCGUAAAACUCUGUUAUUAGGGAAGAACAAACGUGUAAGUAACUGUGCACGUCUUGACGGUACCUAAUCAGAAAGCCACGGCUAACUACGUGCCAGCAGCCGCGGUAAUACGUAGGUGGCAAGCGUUAUCCGGAAUUAUUGGGCGUAAAGCGCGCGUAGGCGGUUUCUUAAGUCUGAUGUGAAAGCCCACGGCUCAACCGUGGAGGGUCAUUGGAAACUGGGAAACUUGAGUGCAGAAGAGGAAAGUGGAAUUCCAUGUGUAGCGGUGAAAUGCGCAGAGAUAUGGAGGAACACCAGUGGCGAAGGCGACUUUCUGGUCUGUAACUGACGCUGAUGUGCGAAAGCGUGGGGAUCAAACAGGAUUAGAUACCCUGGUAGUCCACGCCGUAAACGAUGAGUGCUAAGUGUUAGGGGGUUUCCGCCCCUUAGUGCUGCAGCUAACGCAUUAAGCACUCCGCCUGGGGAGUACGACCGCAAGGUUGAAACUCAAAGGAAUUGACGGGGACCCGCACAAGCGGUGGAGCAUGCGGUUUAAUUCGAAGCAACGCGAAGAACCUUACCAAAUCUUGACAUCCUUUGAAAACUCUAGAGAUAGAGUCUUCCCCUUCGGGGGACAAAGUGACAGGUGGUGCAUGGUUGUCGUCAGCUCGUGUCGUGAGAUGUUGGGUUAAGUCCCGCAACGAGCGCAACCCUUAAGCUUAGUUGCCAUCAUUAAGUUGGGCACUCUAGGUUGACUGCCGGUGACAAACCGGAGGAAGGUGGGGAUGACGUCAAAUCAUCAUGCCCCUUAUGAUUUGGGCUACACACGUGCUACAAUGGACAAUACAAAGGGCAGCUAAACCGCGAGGUCAUGCAAAUCCCAUAAAGUUGUUCUCAGUUCGGAUUGUAGUCUGCAACUCGACUACAUGAAGCUGGAAUCGCUAGUAAUCGUAGAUCAGCAUGCUACGGUGAAUAAGUUCCCGGGUCU
rnacentral:rRNA from 1 species